GCUCAGCCGGUAAAGUGCUGGCCUUGCAAGCCUGAGGAUCUGAGUUCAAAUCUCAG
rnacentral:tRNA from 1 species